rnacentral:rRNA from 1 species
GACGUAGGGCGCGAGCGUUGUCCGGAUUUAUUGGGCGUAAAGAGCUCGUAGGCGGCUUGUCGCGUCGGCUGUGAAAACCCGCGGCUCAACUGUGGGCGGGCAGCUGAUACGGGCAGGCUGGAGUUCGGUAGGGGAGACUGGAAUUUACGGUGUAGCGGUGAAAUGCGUAGAUAUCGUAAGGAAGACCAGUGGCGAAGGCGGGUCUCUGGACAGUUCCUGACGCUGAGGCACGAAGGCCAGGGGAGCAAACGGG